GAUCCUGGCUCAGAAUCAACGCUGGCGGCGUGCCUAAUACAUGCAAGUCGAACGCGAAGACCCCGCAAGGGGUUUGUAGCGUGGCAAACGGGUGAGCAACGCGUGGGCGACCUACCUUCGAGUGGGGGAUAACCUUCCGAAAGGAGGGCUAAUACCGCAUGACAUGCUCUGUUUAGAUACAGGGACAUCAAAGCCGGGGAUCGCAAGACCUGGCGCUUGACGCGGGGCCUACGUCCGAUUAGCUAGUUGGUGGGGUAAUGGCUCACCAAGGCUUCGAUCGGUAUCCGGCCUGAGAGGGCGGACGGACACACUGGGACUGAGACACGGCCCAGACUCCUACGGGAGGCAGCAG
rnacentral:rRNA from 1 species